rnacentral:lncRNA from 1 species
CCUAGAAAAGCAGUGUAGGGUGGCGAUUCCGGAAGGCAGCCCCAGUCCAUAUCGGUUCCAGAGCAGCCCAGAGCAGUGGAGAGGAUGGACGGGUCCAUCGGAUAUGCCCUGUACACAUCGGCCUCAUUAUCCUGCCGGGCGGUUGAAACACCUCCUGCCAUAUCAACUUCCAUCAGCUCAGCUUACUAAAGUGGGGCAUGGUUCCCCCAGCAGUCUCUCCAUCUUCAGACAGAAAGAGUAGAAAGAUAUACUAAGUGCAGUUAUACACCACGUAAUGAUCUUUCAGCUACC